rnacentral:lncRNA from 1 species
GAACACAAAAUGGCGACACGUGGUUAGCAUUCGUCGCCAACGAGAAAUUGGGGUCGGCCCGAAAGCUCUAGAAUGCACCCCUCUUCCUCCCCGGGGCCUUCCACCUCCGCGAGUUUUAUGACUUAAAAAAGCCCACAGGCUGGUCUGAAGAGGAAGACAAACAUAAAGAUGAAGUGCUUAAUUCAAGGUCACACAAUGUCGGGGAUGGACCUCCAGAUUUCCUUACUGACCUGCAUUAUCUUGUGGAUACCUGAGUGAAUUCCACACCACCCAUUUUAUAGAUGAAACCACUGAGACAUGGAGCAAUUGACUGAGUAGUCACUGCCCCACCCCUGCCUGGAGCCUCACACAUGACUCGCCUCCUCUCAGUGACCACAGGAAAACAAGCUCAGGGCUCCCACUGAUUGUACAUUAUGGUGAGACGUGGUCUUGUAACACAGUGGUUAAGAAUGUGACUUUGGAGCCAGCCUGCUAGGGGCUGAAUUCUGACUCAGCCAUUUACUAACUGUGUGACCUUAGGUGGAGUCUCACUCUGUAGCCCAAGCUGGAGUGGCGUGAUCUCGACUCACUGCAACCUCCGCCUCCUGGGAUCAAGUGAUUCUCGUGCCUCAGCCUCCUGAGUAGCCGGGACUACAGUUGUCCCUUGGUGUGGGAUUGCUUCCAGUACCUCUGUGUGUAACAAAAGCUGCACCAUUCAAGUCCCACAGUUGCCCUGCGAAACCUCUGUAUAUGAAAAGUUGGCCCUCCAUGUACAUGGGUUUCCCAUCCUGUCACAGAAUUUUCCACACUCCUUGACAGAGGUGCUUAACCCUUAUCCAUCAGCAUUCUCAGACAGCACCUCCGGUUAGGGACAGUAUCUGACCGUCCGACAUCCCUGCAGCCCCCAU